rnacentral:misc_RNA from 1 species
UCUUUGGGCGCUGCGCGGCUUGGGUGCGUUUCCAUCAGUUCUCCACCUGCAGCCACCUCCUCCCGUUGUGCACGUCUGCUUCUCGUUUUUUUUUUUCGGUUCGCAGCUUCGUCCCUCGCUCUCUCUCUCCUGCGACUGUGGCCUCGGCAAUUCAACUCACGGCCGCCUUGUACGCAUUCGCCUCUCCUCCUCGCCUUCCCUCCCCCCUCUUUCUUUCUGCGCGCACGUCUGUGUGUGUAUCUGUGGGUAAGCGCGUGUGUCGCUGCGAGGAUCGACUGUAGACGCCCCAGCUGAGAGGAGGCAGGGCUGCAGUGCGAAGCCUUGGCUGACAGCGGACACACUCGCCUCAGUGCCUCGUGACACACUGAAAACAGCGACACAGACUUCUUUCGUACGGGCAGAAAAGGUGCCUCGACACAUGAAGGUGAGGGGGCGGCCCUUGACCAGCACACAGACGACGAUAGAAGCAACGCAUCAUGGACUCGAGGCGUGCGCUCGUGAAGCGCUACGUCUUUGGCACGAACCAUGACGGCAAGAACUGCUUGCACUGGCUUGAUGACGGCUCACUCGUCUACCCGGUCGGCAAGACCAUUGUGCUGCAACAGCCAAAAUCGUGCACGCAGCGCUUCCUCGAGGCGGCGUACCAGAGCACGGCCAUCACCGCCAUCGCAAUGAGCGCGAAUAAGAAGUUCAUGGCGAUCGCUGAGAGCGGCCCGCAUCCGCAGGUGCAGAUCAUAGACACCGUGACUCGCAAGCGCCGCAAAGUUCUGAGUGUGACGGACCUGGAUAGCGAUCGGUAUGUAGCCCUCAGCUUCAGCAGUGAUGGGCGGCACCUCGUUACCCAGGGCGGCGCGCCAGGGUGGAAUUUGCACUACUGGAACUGGGAGCGCUCGCAGCCUCUGGCGUCCGUGUCGGUGGGGCAGCUGUACUUGACAAGCGCGCAGGCGCAGGGGUCGACGUCGAGCGGCAACGCAGCUAGCAUCGAUAGCGACUCCAUUCUCCAGGAGGGGGGCACGCAGAAGCUCGACGCAGCUGCCCGCACUGCGGCGCGCAGCGCCCUCGCGACAUUGCGCGCACCACCGCAGGUCGUCACGAGCAUCGGUGUCUGCCCCCUCGAUCCGCUGCUGGUGACCGUGGCAGGUAUUGGCUUCUUUCGCUUUUACCGUUACACUGAGGGUCUCCUCCAGCCGCAGCCGAGCACGGGCGUGCCGCGCGAGCAGUUUGAGAGCUUUUCGACGCACCUCUGGGUCACCGAACACAACGUCGUCGUGGCGACGCACAGUGGACGACUUUUACUGAUCCAGGACGGGCGGUACAUGAGUGCGAUUGAGAUACCGCCAUCGCCGCCGUCACAUCUGCGAGGCUCAACUUCCGAGCCCCUCCUGGAGGGGGCGGGGGCCGCCGUGCCAGUGGACGUGGUGAUGUGCAUUGUUCCCACACAUCAGCAGCAGCAUCAGCGGGCGCAGCACCACAGCGGGUUCAUUGCCGGAACGAGCCAAGGUAAUGUUCUCAUUUUCCAGGGCGACAACAACGCCGCUGGUGCCGACGGCGUGGCGGACGCACUGAACGGCGAGAUCGUUGCAGGUGACACGACCGGCUACACGUUCGUGUGUCGACUAGAGGUACCCGCCUACGAGGCUGGCGAGCUGCAACAACAGCGCUCGCCACAUGCACCGCAUCACGCAUCUGCCGGACAGAAGCCGGCCGCUCCAGCGCUGAUGUCAAUCACAGACACCGCCGCUGCGGCUGCUGCGCCACCGUCGACAACCGCAGACGCGGGGAGAAGUGACAAGGGACGCACCGGCCGCCUCUUCCAGCUCCGCGACCAGAUUGACGCGAAGGGUGCCAGGGCGAAGGCGUCCGCAGGGACAGCUGCUGGGCGACGAGGUCAGAGCACCGCAAGCGACGACGCAAGCGCCUACAAAGGCGGCGUUGAUAACGCUGGCCAAACCCUGGGCAGCGAUGGGCAGCGGUACAGGGUGUCGGCCUUGGCCCUUGAUCAGGCGGAGGAGUGCUUAGCGGUGCUCACGGCGUCCGGAAAGCUGUACGGGCUUAACUUCCAGCAGAACUGGGCGGCGCGCGAGGCGAUGUUCCACACGUCGAACGUUUCCACGAUGACCUCCGCCUCCGCUGGUGGAGCAGGUGGUGAUGAGGCACCGGUGCUGCUUGCGCAGCUUCCCUCCCUCCUCGAGCACAGCGGCGGCGAUCUCGGGCGGGCGUCGUUGGCGGCCAUACCCGGGCAUGUGUCGACUCGCAGCAUGCUCUUCCAGUCUCUGUACCCUUUCACCCACUGCGGCCGCGUAAACGGUAUGGACUGCAGUGUUCGCAAGCCGUUGCUCAUCACCUCCGGCAGCGACCACAGCAUCCGUGUCUGGAACACGCAGACGGGGCAGUUGCUCAUGUGCCAGUUCUUCGCAUCGGAGCCCGGCGCUGUCGCGAUCCACCCCGACGGCCUCAUGGCGGUCGUCUGUUUUCCUGACAAGGUGCGUGUCAUGAGUGUGCUCUGGAGUUCGUUGCGUGAGCGCCGCACGAUCAACCUGCGCAACGCGUCCGACGUAUUCUUCGCGAAGGGUGGCCAACUCUUUGCCAUUGUGCACCACAACCUUGUCUACGUCGAGGACGCGAACACGUGCGAGCUGCAAGGGCAGCUGCGCGGCCACCCGCAGCGCAUCAAGGACUUCCAGUGGUGCUCUACGACGGCGUACCCAACGGACAACCGCGCCGUGACGUGCUCGUCGGAUGGCAUGAUCAUGGACUGGAACAUAUCCGAGAUGCGCAAGCAGACGGAGCAUUCCGAUAGGCGCUUCCAGUAUGUCGCAAUCGCGUCCGAUGACCGCAGUGUCUGGGCGGUGGCAGCACCUACACCGGCGACGGCGCUGGACGUGUCGUGGAAGGUGCUGCUGCGCGAGAUUGAUCGGCAGAGCCUCGGCACCAUCAACGCAGGCACAAACAAGGGCGUCGCAGCGGGCGGCCCAGGCGCGCGGGGUGCCGCGGGUGGCAUGACGGCGACGUCUUCGGGUGGUGGCGGUGGUAUUAGCAACGUCCUGGGCAACAGCGUGGGCGACUACGAGUUCACUGAGACGGCCCUGACGCGCCUCCUGGUGGCGCCGCACCAGCGCGUGCUGAUCGCCGGCGCAGAGGACGGCUCCGUAAAGGCUAUGACGUUCCCGCUGCAGGCCGGCAUUCAGGAGGCCCCGAUUGCCGCGCACGCGUUGCCGGUGACCCGCAUGGCGCUGUCCUUCGAUGAGACGACGCUCUUCACCGCCAGCGCAGACGGCAGCGUCAUCAUGUGGGAGAUCUUCGCUGAGAAGGAUAAGGUGAAGCCCACGGGUGCGGGAGCCACCAGCACCACUGGCCAGCACCACGACCCGGCGAGCCGCCGCAACAUGAACUUCACCGAGGAGGUGCUCGUCACGAAACAGGAGAUGGAGGAGCAACGCAUUGAGAUUGAGAGCCUGCAGCAGUACAUUGAAAAACUGAAGACGGACAUGGAAAGCGAGGAUAAGCGUCGCGCGCACGAGCAGGGCACUCGCACCCGUGAGCGGGCAGAGGAGCUGCAGCAGGACGCCAUCGCGUUGGCAGCAGAGUACGACGCCCUCCAACAUGCAAAGGCGGAUCAGGAGCAGACCUUUCUGGACGCCAAGAACGAGAUGGCACGGGAUGCAGCGCAGACGCUGGAGGACGUGGAGAUGGAGCGCCAACGCGAAGUCGACACCCUUGCCGACGAGUGCGGCGCGCUUCAGCACCGCCUUGAGACGACGAAGGUGGCGCACGCGGCGGAGCUCAAGACGUUGCGUGCCAGCCUGGCGCAGGCCCGCACCGAGGACGAGGCGCACUUCCAGGACGUUCUGAGCCAGCGCACCGAGGCUGUGCGUAAACUUCACCGCCAGCUGGAGCACAGUAACGAGACGAACCGCGUCACCCUCCAUCAGCUUGAGCUGGACACCGAUUCGGAGUCGCAGUCGGUCUUUCAGAAGCAGCAAGGCACUCUGCAGCGGGCACGGGAGCGAUUCCUGCACCUGAAGGGCGAGGGGGCCGUGAUGCGGAAGAACUCGAUGCGGCUGGAGCGGGAGAUCGAGGUUCGCACAAACGAGCUUCAGCUGCUCGACGGCGCCAAGGCAGCCCUGCAGAGCCAGUUGACGGACCUGACGCAGCAGGUAGCGCAGCUGCACCAGGACAUCGACGAGCGCGACAGCGUCACGGAGAAGAAGGAGAAGGUCAUCUACAGCCUCAAGAAGCGUAACCAGGAGCUGGAGAAGCACAAGUACGUGCUCGACCACCAAAUCCGCGAGCUGAAGGGGCAGAUAGAGCCUAAGCAGCGCGAGAUCGCGGAGCUGAACCAGGAAACGAAGCAGCAGAACGCGAACCUCGAGGAGCAGCACACGAGCAACCUUACCCUGCGCCAGAACACGGAGGAGUUGAAGAAGGACAUUGCCGAACAGCAACGCACGCUGCAGGCUCGGCUGCGGGAGCUGCAAGGGUUGGAGACGUACCGCUCGCGAGCUGAGCGUGACAUUGGGGAGCUUGCCCAUCAGCUACAGGACCCGGCGUCCUUGGCUGCCGCCGUUGCGCGGCUGUACGAGGUGCACGUCGCACCGCGCGAUGUCAAGCAAAUCGCUCCGGCGGACCCGAACGUAAAGCACGAGCUGCAGUCUCAGCUCGAGUACCUCUCCACCUCUGUCGACGCCCUCCGGCGCAAGCUUAAGUCUGACGAGCAGCGGCACAAGAAGGAGGUCUCGGCGAUGAUGACGGAGAACCUAUCACUCAUUCGCGAGAUCCACUCGCUGCGCGGCGAGAUGGAUCAUCUGCGUGCGCGGGUGGCGGCAGACACGGUGUCCAAACAGCAGCAGCAGUAUCAAAUGCAGCGGCGCGCGGGCGCGGGCGGGGGUGGGGCAUGCCGCGGCGCAGGUCGCGCCAACGACGAGCGCAGCAGCGUCGCGGACGCGGGCGCCACCGACACAAUGGGCUCCGCCGUCACGGACGCUGUCGGACGCUCGAUUCAGCUUUCCCCCAGCGAGGUGGAUAACACCCGCGGCGGCAACAGGACGCGUCGGCGCGGUGGCACUGGCGGCAGCGCAGGCCAGCGACCAGUGACACCGCAGUCAGAGAUCGAGAUAAGCAGUCGCGAGCUGCGCAUGUUGCGCGCGUACAUCGAGAAGCUAGAGCGCUCCCUUGCUGGGCUGCCGGACUCUAGAGAGGUGCAGAAGGAGAGUGUACGACUUCCACCCGUAGACUCCCUUGCCAUCACGUAGCAGAGCUGCAGACGAUCAUCGUCCGUAGAGCAACGCACGCACGCAUAGGCACCCGCACAGGCACGCGAGCGUGUGGAAGUAGAGGUGGGUGGGCGGGUGGGCAAAAAAAGGGAGCGAGAGCGCUCACAUGGGUGGGAUGACCGCAACCAGGCCUGUGCCAUGCAAGUAUGCUCACAUCUCUCUCACUCUCUGUCCGUCUGUCGGUCGGUCCCUUCCCUUCUGCGCCCUCCCACACCAUCGACGUGUGUCUCUCGUCGCUGCCCGUUGUUGUCUGUGUGCUGGGCUGUUCGCAGUUCGCUGAUACCCCGCCAUCACAUAACACGCUGGCAUUCUCUUCCACUGUCUGUGCCCGUGCGUAUGUGCCUCUUUCUCUUUCUCUCUUCUGAUUCUUUUCUUUUCUGCCUUCCUUGAUGUAUGACUUCAACGUUUCUCG